GUAGGGAAUAUUGCACAAUGGAGGAAACUCUGAUGCAGCGACGCCGCGUGAGUGAUGAAGGCCUUCGGGUCGUAAAACUCUGUGAUAAGGGAAGAUGAUGACGGUACCUUAUCAGAAAAGACCGGCUAACUUCGUGCCAGCAGCCGCGGUAAUACGAGGGGUCUAAGCGUUGUUCGGAAUCACUGGGCGUAAAGCGGGUGUAGGUGGCUAUGCAAGUUGGAUGUGAAAGCCCCGGGCUCAACCCGGGAAGUGCAUCCAAAACUACGUAGCUUGAGUGCGGGAGAGAAAGGCAGAAUUCCUGGUGUAGUGGUGAAAUACGUAGAUAUCAGGAGGAACUCCGGUGGCGAAGGCGGCCUUUUGGCCCAGCACUGACACUCAGACCCGAAAGCGUGGGUAGCAAACAGGAUUAGAUACCCCAGUAGUCC
rnacentral:rRNA from 1 species